UACGAAGGGUGCAAGCGUUACUCGGAAUUACUGGGCGUAAAGCGUGCGUAGGCGGUUCGUUAAGUCUGAUGUGAAAGCCCUGGGCUCAACCUGGGAAUGGCAUUGGAAACUGGCGAGCUAGAGUGCGGUAGAGGGUAGUGGAAUUCCCGGUGUAGCGGUGAAAUGCGCAGAUAUCGGGAGGAACACCAAUGGCGAAGGCAGCUCGCUGGGCCGGGACUGACGCUGAGACGCGAAAGCGUGGGGAGCAAACAGG
rnacentral:rRNA from 1 species